rnacentral:rRNA from 1 species
UACGAAGGGGGCUAGCGUUGCUCGGAAUCACUGGGCGUAAAGCGCACGUAGGCGGAUUGCUAAGUCAGGGGUGAAAUCCUGGAGCUCAACUCCAGAACUGCCUUUGAUACUGGCGAUCUUGAGUCCGGGAGAGGUGAGUGGAACUGCGAGUGUAGAGGUGAAAUUCGUAGAUAUUCGCAAGAACACCAGUGGCGAAGGCGGCUCACUGGCCCGGUACUGACGCUGAGGCACGAAGGCCAGGGGAGCAAACGGG